AGCGAACGCUGGCGGCAGGCCUAACACAUGCAAGUCGAACGAACUCUUCGGAGUUAGUGGCGGACGGGUGAGUAACACGUGGGAACGUGCCUUUAGGUUCGGAAUAACCCAGGGAAACUUGUGCUAAUACCGAAUGUGCCCUUCGGGGGAAAGAUUUAUCGCCUUUAGAGCGGCCCGCGUCUGAUUAGCUAGUUGGUGAGGUAAUGGCUCACCAAGGCGACGAUCAGUAGCUGGUCUGAGAGGAUGACCAGCCACAUUGGGACUGAGACACGGCCCAAACUCCUACGGGAGGCAGCAGUGGGGAAUCUUGCGCAAUGGGCGAAAGCCUGACGCAGCCAUGCCGCGUGGAUGAUGAAGGUCUUAGGAUUGUAAAAUCCUUUCACCGGUGAAGAUAAUGACUGUAGCCGGAGAAGAAGCCCCGGCUAACUUCGUGCCAGCCGCCGCGGUAAAAC
rnacentral:rRNA from 1 species